GACUGGCUGCUCAACACCCACUGGAGACUGGCUGCUCAACACCCACUGGAGACUGGCUGCUCAACACCCACUGGAGACUGGCUGCUCAACACCCACUGGAGACUGGCUGCUCAACACCCACUGGAGACUGGCUGCUCAACACCCACUAGAGACUGGCUGCUCAACACCCACUGGAGACUGGCUGCUCAACACCCACUGGAGACUGGCUGCUCAACACCCACUGGAGACUGGCUGCUCAACACCCACUAGAGACUGGCUGCUCAACACCCACUAGAGACUGGCUGCUCAACACCCUCGUGUCCUAGGUAUAAUCCAGUAGAUCGUGUCCUAGGUAUAAUCCAGUAGAACUCUUGAGUUUCUCUUAUUCGAUUCCUUGUUUCUACUGACUGGAUAUCACUUGAGUAUCAAUGUCUUUUCUCUCUCUUCUCCCUCUCUUUUCUCUCUGUACCAACGAUGACACCUAGUAACACGUUCUGAGAGUAUCCUGUCUUUUAGUUUGUGUCUUGUUUGAUUGAAUAUGCACACCUGUCAGAGUUUAGAUCAAACCUUACACACCUCCAAUGGAUCGUAUCUCCAGAACACCAACUGUCUCUACCACUAGACUAGCACAUCAGAGUUGUUUUGUUUUAUGUACAGUAUUGACUUUCCUUCAAUAACAAAACGUAUUUAUUGUGUGUUUGUGUGGAAGAGUAGCUGCCUAGAAUACGAUAAAGAAGGUUUGGACUGUCAUAGAUUCUAAGGAUUCUCCAUGAAAUCUUCCUGAACUGGGAACCGCUGUGAAUGAACUGAAACUUACUGAACGGAAUGGAACCGUCUGGUUCUGUAAGUGGUUCUGUGACAUCAUCCCUGUCCUUCGCUGUCUCGCUCCAGGUAGCAGCUUUGUAAUAGCACUUCGCACAAUGUGGGGACAGUACCAUGAACUAAAUUUAAUUGACUACUUUCUGUUACCUGCAUGGGUCUACAGACCAUGACUAAUGCUACUGAAUAACCAGGUUUCAUAUGUUCAAUCCUGUGGUGUUUAACGUUCCACACAAGGUUUGCCUCAAAAUAUUAUUUGGGUUUUAGCUAGAUGGUGUGAUACAAUAUCAUGAGAAUUUUCCACUCUCACAAAAUGAUCAGAAUGGGAGUACUACUGUAUCUGAUUCCAGAACAUCUGAUUUUUAUGUUCUAUUCAGAAGGUCGUGGUUGCCUUGUGAAAAUGGCCACCCUGUUCCCUAUGAAGUUAGGAAGAGGGUGGCAUUUUGAACGCAUACCAUAUCUGGACCACCUGUGUUGUACAUAUCUGUACUAAAAACGUUGACUUUGGCUCUCUGCUUUCCCUCUACAGAACAGCUGCUGUUUAGCCGGUGUACCUUUAUAAAGGAGAGGAGGUUGUCUACGUCCCAAAUGGCACCCUAUUCCCUACAUAGUGCACUACUUUUGACCAGAUUCUUAAGGGACCAGUUCAAAAGUAGUGCACUAUAUAGGGAAUAGGGUGCCACUUGGGACGGAACAUGUCUGCAGUGUUGAAAAUGUUUGACUCGUUUAAGGUGUCAACUGAUGCCUUGAGACACAUUUGCUAGUUUUUUGCUGCAUUUUAAAGCAUAUUUUCAUACUGAUGUUGCCCCGCUUGUAGUGGUCUGCUGUUUUAACUGCAUCAAAGAGAAACCAAAUCGUGGAUUGUAAUACUAAUGAGGCUGGAAUAAGGCUUUGAAGGCCCGGCCCCCCCUUCGCUCUUUUUCUACAAGCCUCUCUCCCUUCUCGAUCUUCUCUUUCCCUGACCGCUCCUUGCCUCUUCCUCCUCUGCCUUUGAUUGUUUACUGCUAAAUUGAGCCUCUUUUCUGUACUUAAUAAAAAUGAACAUUUUGAAAAUGGCUGACUUGUAAUUGUUAGGAUGCUAUAUAGUAUUUUCUAUAUUCCAGUAAAACAAGUGUUGCUGAUGUGACAAAUGCUUCCAUUUAGGGAUGCAAGGUAACGAUGCUUGGUGGGUGAAAGUUGUCUAUGUUCAGAGGGUCCAUGGUUCGAGCCCAGGCUGGGGAAAGGACUGAAGAAACAUGAUUACACAAGAUCGACAAAUAUUAAUAUGGAAACAUUUUUAUUUU
rnacentral:lncRNA from 1 species